CUACGCCUACGGGACGCAGCAGUGAGGAAUAUUGGUCAAUGGCCGGAAGGCUGAACCAGCCAAGUCGCGUGAGGGAAUAAGGCCCUAUGGGUCGUAAACCUCUUUUGUCAGGGAGCAAAGGCGUCCACGAGCGGACGAAAGGAGAGUACCUGAAGAAAAAGCAACGGCUAACUCCGUGCCAGCAGCCGCGGUAAUACGGAGGAGGCGAGCGUUAUCCGGAUUUAUUGGGUUUAAAGGGGGCGUAGGCGGAUUGUCAAGUCAGCGGUAAA
rnacentral:rRNA from 1 species